rnacentral:rRNA from 1 species
AUACGUAGGUGGCGAGCGUUGUCCGGAAUUAUUGGGCGUAAAGGGCACGCAGGCGGCUGUUUAAGUCCGGUGUGAAAGGUUGCGGCUUAACCGCAAACGGGCACCGGAAACUGAAGAGCUUGAGGGCAGAAGAGGGGAGCAGAAUUCCACGUGUAGCGGUGAAGUGCGUAGAGAUGUGGAAGAAUACCGGUGGCGAAAGCGGUUCUCUGGUCUGCACCUGACGCUGAGGUGCGAAAGCGUGGGGAGCGAACAGGAUUAGAUACCCUGGUAGUCCACGCCGUAAACGAUGAAUGCUAGGUGUUAGGGGGGUCCAACCCCUUAGUGCUGAAGGCAACCCAUUAAGCAUUCCGCCUGGGGAGUACGGCCGCAAGGCUGAA